rnacentral:rRNA from 1 species
UAGGGAAUUUUUCACAAUGAGCGAAAGCUUGAUGGAGCAAUGCCGCGUGAACGAUGAAGGUCUUUAAGAUUGUAAAGUUCUUUUAUUUGGGAAGAAUGACUUUAGCAGGUAAUGGCUAGAGUUUGACUGUACCAUUUUGAAUAAGUGACGACUAACUAUGUGCCAGCAGUCGCGGUAAUACAUAGGUCGCAAGCGUUAUCCGGAUUUAUUGGGCGUAAAGCAAGCGCAGGCGGAUUGAAAAGUCUGGUGUUAAAGGCAGCUGCUUAACAGUUGUAUGCAUUGGAAACUAUUAAUCUAGAGUGUGGUAGGGAGUUUUGGAAUUUCAUGUGGAGCGGUGAAAUGCGUAGAUAUAUGAAGGAACACCAGUGGCGAAGGCGAAAACUUAGGCCAUUACUGACGCUUAGGCUUGAAAGUGUGGGGAGUAAAUAGGAUUAGAUACCCUAGUAGUCCACACCGUAAACGAUAGAUACUAGCUGUCGGGGCGAUCCCCUCGGUAGUGAAGUUAACACAUUAAGUAUCUCGCCUGGGUAGUACAUUCGCAAGAAUG